GCGGUGUCGCGUAUAGAUGCUACUUGCUGUUGCUGCUGCUGUCUGAAAUUCACUGGAAAGUGAUUUCCGGAGAGGGUGUUAGGCCCGUUCGGAUGGCGGCGGUGACGGUUGGUUGGUGUCUGUGGAGUCGAGUUGCUUGGGAAUGCAGCUCUAAGUAGGUGGUAUACCACAUCUAAGGCUAAAUACGACCACGAAACCGAUAGCGAACAAGUACCGUGAGGGAAAGUUGCAAAGAACUUUGAAGAGAGAGUUCAAGAGGACGUGAAACCACGAGUGGCGAAGCGGAUAGAAUUGACGAAUCUGGCUGUAAUCAGUGCUGCGAUGCUGCCUGGCUGCAAUCGAUGCUGUCCCGUAAGGGAGUCGGUUGUGGUCUUAGCUUGCUGGCUUGCGGUGCGCAUUUACAGUUGGAAGUGCUGAAUAACUCGGGACCCCUUCCGGACCGUGCAGGCGUGGCCCACUUAUGUGGUUGCUUGUCGUGCGGCGAGGAGGAUGUGGACACCGAGAGGCGAAAGCCUGGCCUUUGCGUUGUGAUGCAGCUGAAUGUUAGGCUGCCUGUUGGAUACUGCUAUGUUCCGGCGGGUUGGCGUUUCUGGAUGUUGUGUUGCUUCGUUCGGGCUUGAUUUCAGCGUGAAAGUCGAUCACCUAUCCGACCCGUCUUGAAACACGGACCGAGAAGUUUAGUAAGUACGCGAGUCAAUGGGUUUUAAACCUACUGGCGCAAUAAACGUAAAGGUGGCUUUGUGCUGCUGAUAUGUGAUCCGUGAGCUUGCUUGCGGCGCAACAUAGCCCCAUACUGACUGCUUGCAGUGGUGUGGAGGUAGAGCGUACUUACUGAGACCCGAAAGAUGGUGAACUAUGCCUGAGCAGGACGAAGCCAGAGGAAACUCUGGUGGAAGUCCGAAGCGGUUCUGACGUGCAAAUCGAUCGUCUGACUUGGGUAUAGGGGCGAAAGACUAAUCGAACCAUCUAGUAGCUGGUUCCCUCCGAAGUUUCCCCCAGGAUAGCUGGAGUGUGAUGUUUUUAUAUUCGGUAAAGCGAAUGAUUAGAGGAAUUGGGGGCGAAAUGCUCUCAACCUAUUCUCAAACUUUCAAUGGGUACGAUGUUGUGGUUGCUUGAUUGAACCAUGACUUCGAAAACGCGCUCCAAGUGGGCCAUUUUUGGUAAGCAGAACUGGCGAUGCGGGAUGAACCGAACGUUGAGUUAAGGUGCCUAACUCUCCGCUCAUGAGACCCCAUAAAAGGCGUUGGUUGAUAUAGACAGCAGGACGGUGGCCAUGGAAGUCGGAAACCGCUAAGGAGUGUGUAACAACUCACCUGCCGAAUCAACUAGCCCUGAAAAUGGAUGGCGCUUGAGCGGGGGACCUAUACUUGACCGUUGGUGGCUUGAACGUCUGGUAAACGUCUGGCCUCAACGAGUAGGAGGGAUGCAGCGGUUAGCGUAGAAGCCUUUGGGCGUGAGCCUAGGUGGAGCUACCGUUGGUGCAGAUCUCGGUGGUAGUAGCAAAUAUUCAAUUGAGAUCCUUGAAGACUGAAGUGGAAAAGGGUUCCACGUGAACAGUAGUUGAAUGUGGGUAAGUCGGUCCUAAGAUACUGGCUAAUGCCUUGUAUCAUCGAGAGGGAGUAAAUUUUACUCUCUCAGAAAUCGAAAGGGAAACAGGUUAAUAUUCCUGUACCAAGACACGGAGAUUGUCGCUCGCAAGAGUGACUGAAGCGGUAACGCAAACGAACCAGGCGAUGCUUGGUUGAGCCCGAGCUAGAGAUCUCUUCUCUAGUUAAGGAACGGACUCCCUGGAAACGGUUUAGCCGGAGAUAGGGACGUUGUUUCCGUAAAGCACCACGGUUUCUGUGGUGUCUCGUGUGCUCAGCUAGGUCCUUGAAAAGCUUGGGGAGUAAUAAAUCUCGUGCUUGACCGUACCGAUAACCGCAGCAGGUUUCCAAGGUGAACAGCCUCUAGUCGAUAGAAUAAUGUAGAUACGGGAAGUCGGCAAAUUUGAUCCGUAACCUCGGGAAAAGGAUUGGCUCUAAGGUCUGAGUCGUUCGGGCUGCGUUAUGAAGCUUGUGCGGCUGCGUCCAUUGGUGGGUGAGGCUUCGGCUGAACUCGUCAUAGUGAUGUGGCUGUCUUGUGGACUUGCGUAGCUUGUGCAUUGACUUCGGUUGGUGUACGUCGGGCGACGGUUAACAGAUAACUUAGAACUGGUACGGACUCAGGGAAUCCGACUGUCUAAUUAAAACAGAGGAAACAGAUGGUCCUUGCGGACGUUGACUGUUUCUGAUUUCUGCCCAGUGCUCUGAAUGUUAAAGUGGCGUCAGUCACAUAAGCGCGGGUAAACGGCGGGAGUAACUAUGACUCUCUUAAGGUAGCCAAAUGCCUCGUCAUCUAAUUAGUGACGCGCAUGAAUGGAUUAACGAGAUUCCCACUGUCCCUAUCUACUAUCUAGCGAAACCACAGCCAAGGGAACGGGCUUGGAAUAAACAGCGGGGAAAGAAGACCCUGUUGAGUUUGACUCUAGUUUGACUCUGUGAAGAGUCUUGAGAGGUGUAGCAUAAGUGGGAGACUUCGGUCGAAAUUGAAAUACCACUACUUUCAACGAUUCUUUACUUAUUCGGUAAGGCGAGGAUUGGGCUUUGCGGCUCUUCCUUUUGGUGUUAAUCGGUGGCACUCGGUGUAAUCGUGAUUCGGACCGAAGACAGUGUCAGGCCGGGAGUUUGGCUGGGGCGGUACAUCUAUCAAAUCGUAACGUAGGUGUCCUAAGGUUGGCUCAGAGAGGACGGAAACCUCUCGUAGAGCAAAAGGGCAAAAGCCCACUUGAUCUUGAUUUUCAGUACUAAUACAGACCGCGAAAGCGGGGCCUAUCGAUCCUUAACAGCUUGAUGGUGUCAAGUUUGAGGUGUCAGAAAAAUUACCACAGGGAUAACUGGCUUGUGGCAGCCAAGCGUCCAUAGCGACGUUGCUUUUUGAUCCUUCGAUGUCGGCUCUUCCUAUCAUUGCGAAGCAGAAUUCGCCAAGCGUUGGAUUGUUCACCCUCUAAUAGGGAACGUGAGCUGGGUUUAGACCGUCGUGAGACAGGUUAGUUUUACCCUACUGUUGACAGAUUGUUGCGAUAGUAAUCCUACUUAGUACGAGAGGAACCGUAGGUUCGGAUAAUUGGUUGAUGCGGCUAGUCGAUAGACUAAUGCUGCGAAGCUACCUUCCGUUGGAUUAUGACUGAAAGCCUCUAAGUCAGUAACCUAUCUAGUCGAAACGAUAACUUCGCUUCUCGGUGUCGGGAGGUGAAUGUAAGUGGUUGCAAGACCACUGGAUAGCCCUAAACUUGACCUCGUCUGAUCGCGAAAGCGGUUGGAUUGUCAGGCCGGAUCACUCCGGUUCAACGUCGGGGCGCGAGAUCACUUGAAGACUACUUGUAUACUAAUCCAGGUGUUGUAUUCAGUAGAGC
rnacentral:rRNA from 1 species